CCCGCCAAGCCUCUUUACAAUGCUCAAAUCGGCGGGU
rfam:Bacteroides coprophilus CAG:333 genomic scaffold, scf159